GUAUAUAUAGUUCAGUGGUAGAGUGCAUGCCUAGUAUGCACAAAGUCCUGGGUUCAAUCCCCAGUGCCUCCA
rnacentral:tRNA from 1 species